rnacentral:misc_RNA from 1 species
GAUGAAGAACGCAGCGAAAUGCGAUAAGUAGUGUGAAUUGCAGAAUUCAGUGAAUCAUCGAAUCUUUGAACGCACAUUGCGCCCCUUGGUAUCCCGAGGGGCAUGCCUGUUCGAGCGUCAUUUCACCACUCAAGCCUGGCUUGGUGUUGGGUGACGUCCAUUUUAAGGACGCGCCUCGAAACGCUCGGCGGCGUGGCACCGGCUUUAAGCGUAGCAGAAUCUUUCGCUUCGAAAGUCGGGGCCCCGUCUGCCGGAAGACCCAUUCACAAGGUUGACCUCGGAUCAGGCAGGGAUACCCGCUGAACUUAAGCAUAUCAAUAAGCGGAGGA